rnacentral:misc_RNA from 1 species
UCCAGCAGCCGCGGUAAUACGUUCCCGGGCCUUGCACACACCGCCCGUCACACCAUGGGAGUCAGUUGCUCCAGAAGUGGCUACGCCAACCCGCAAGGGAGGCAGGUCCCCAAGGAGUGACUGGUGACUGGGGUGAAGUCGUAACAAGGUAACCGUAGGGGAACCUGCGGUUGGAUCACCUCCUUUCUGGACAAUCGCACGGACCUCAGGUCCUGUGCCGAUGAAUCCUCUCUCCUCCUCCGGCUGCUCAGCUUUGAGAGACCGACUCCGGUCGGUUCUUUGACAAGUCAAUAGACGGACAUGGCGAUUCAAGGUGCGAAUCGCAAAGCGUCUUGGUAGCCCUGACCUGAUGUCCGGGGCUGUGCCAGGUGGUGAGCCUGGCGCUGUCUUGGACCCGAAAGCCGGUUUGGUUUAGGUGGUCAAGCUUCUAAGGGCACACGGUGGAUACCUAG